rnacentral:rRNA from 1 species
UACGUAGGGGGCUAGCGUUGUCCGGAAUCAUUGGGCGUAAAGAGCGCGUAGGCGGCCCGGUAAGUCCGCUGUGAAAGUCGGGGGCUCAACCCUCGAAAGCCGGUGGAAACUGUAAAGCUAGAGUCCGGAAGAGGAGAGUGGAAUUCCUGGUGUAGCGGUGAAAUGCGCAGAUAUCAGGAGGAACACCCGUGGCGAAAGCGGCUCUCUGGGACGGUACUGACGCUGAGACGCGAAAGCGUGGGGAGCAAACAGG